AGGACGAACGCUGGCGGCGUGCUUAACACAUGCAAGUCGAGCGGAAAGGCCCUUCGGGGUACUCGAGCGGCGAACGGGUGAGUAACACGUGAGCAACCUGCCCUUGGCUCUGGGAUAGCCUCCGGAAACGGGGAUUAAUACCGGACAUUCACUUUCUCCUGCAUGGGGGGUUGGUGGAAAGUUUUUCGGCCAGGGAGGGGCUCGCGGCCUAUCAGCUUGUUGGCGGGGUAACGGCCCACCAAGGCGACGACGGGUAGCCGGCCUGAGAGGGCGAUCGGCCACACUGGGACUGAGACACGGCCCAGACUCCUACGGGAGGCAGCAGUGGGGAAUAUUGCACAAUGGGCGCAAGCCUGAUGCAGCGACGCCGCGUGGGGGAUGGAAGGCCUUCGGGUUGUAAACCCCUUUCACCAGGAGCGAAUUCAGACGGUACCUGGGGAAGAAGGCGCCGGCUAACUACGUGCCAGCAGCCGC
rnacentral:rRNA from 1 species